rnacentral:lncRNA from 1 species
GUUGCUGUGGCUCUGGCAUAGGCCAGUGGCUACCGCUCCAAUUGGACCCCUAGCCUGGGAACCUCCAUAUGCUGCGGGAGCAGCCCAAGAAAUAGCAAAAAGACAAAAAAAAAAAAAAAUUCUUAUUACAACACUAACAUCCAUCCCAGUCCCUAACACACAGUAGGUACUUGAUAAUGUUUCAUCAGUGAAUGGAGAAAUGAGCAGACAAUGAGAGAUGUUUUCUUUUCUACCUGUAGGACGGAUGGGAGGCUGUGAGACUGAAUUCAGAACUUACGGAGGGUAAAAUGAGAAGGUGGACUCUUUAGGCAGCAGCUGAGGCUGUGGCAAUCAGUUCCUGUUUAAAAGGAACUCAAAACUGAACAGGAGGCGAAGCUGGAAAACACAGUGUGAAGAGUGUUCUAAGAAGAGAACACAGUGUGACCACAGGGGAGCGGCGGCUGCCUCAGACCGGAGGAGGGAGGAUGCAGGGAGGAAUCCUUCUGGAGGGGACCAUGUGCCAGGUCUCAGAGGAAGGCUGGGAGUUCAUCAGGUGAAAGAGGAAGAUACAGAGGUAAGGGGAGCAGAGCACAUUCUGAUUCUUUCUGCUGCACUUUGUGUGAUGGACUCACAUAGAAACCAGGCACCAGUCCUGUCUAGCCGUCCACAUCUCUAUGUUAUUUCAUUGAACGUAGGGGUAACCGUCCACAUUUCUCUGGAUCUUGAAAGUAUAAAAUAAAUAAUUUUUACUCCUCUUCUACUCCCUCAAAACAUUUAUGCUCCACUUACUGCAGCAUUUCCGCACAUGCUACUCUCUCUGCCUGAAAGACUCUGCCUUUCUCUCUUAUAAACAUUUUAUCAGUUGUCCUCGCCUAAUUCCCAUUUAUUCUUCAAGAGUCAGUUUAAACACCAUUUCUUCAGGGAGACCUUCUUGACCCCAAGGUUAGGUCAGGUCCCUUGACAGUGUCCCCUAAAUCUCUCUGAUCGUGACAUUCAUGCUUUUCCCCCGUUUGACUUAAUUGUCUCUCAUUUCCUAUACACUUUAAACUCCAUGAGAAUUUAUUUACUCCUAUAUACUCAGUAGUCAACAAAGUGGUUCAUAAUAGGCACUCAAUAAAUAUUUAUAGAAUGAAUAAAUGAAUGAGCA